rnacentral:rRNA from 1 species
UACAGAGGUCUCAAGCGUUGUUCGGAUUCAUUGGGCGUAAAGGGUGCGUAGGUGGCGGGGCCAGUCAGGUGUGAAAUCCCGGGGCUAACCCUGGAACUGCAUUUGAUACUGCCUUGCUGGAGAACUGGAGAGGAGACUGGAAUUUACGGUGAGCAGUGAAAUGCGUAGAGAUCGUAAGGAAGACCAGUGGCGAAAGGCGAGUCUCUGGACGUUACUGACACUG